UGGGGUUCUGAACUACCCAAAACGUGCCUGCCAGUUCAACCGGACCCAACUGGGCGAUUGCUCUGGCAUUGGGGACCCUACCCACUAUGGUUACAGCA
rnacentral:misc_RNA from 1 species